UACGAAGGGUGCUAGCGUUGUUCGGAAUCACUGGGCGUAAAGGGUGCGUAGACGGCUUGUUAAGUUCGUUGUUAAAGGCUCCGGCCUAACCGGAGUAUUGCGAUGAAAACUGGCAAACUAGAGGAUGAGAGAGAGAAGUGGAAUUCCCGGAGUAGCGGUAAAAUGCGUGGAUCUCGGGAGGAACACCAAUGGCGAAGGCAGCUUCUUGGCUCAUAUCUGACGUUGAGGCACGAAAGCGUGGGGAGCAAACAGG
rnacentral:rRNA from 1 species